UAAUCUCGAUUAAGAGUAGAUUACUGCUUUUUCUUGAUAAGAUAAAAGCAUAUUAGAAGUUACGGAUUACCCUCUUCUAAAUUGAUAUUGUCCUUAGUAUUUUCUUUGUUCUCAAGUCCUCUCUUCUAUUUAUCUUCAGCGAUAUUAGACAUCUUCUCUUUUCUAAGUGUUAUCAUGGCAGAACUUAUUGAAAUGAAGAGUGCAAUGGCACAAAUGUAAGAACCAUUAAGAGAGUUAAUGCUUGCGAUGCAUCAACUCAAUUUACCACUACAAAGAACAACAAGAUUGGCAAGAAGUGAAGAUAUAGAAAUGGUUGGAGCUGCUUGAAUAUUUGUACCAAAUGUUAG
rnacentral:lncRNA from 1 species